GACAGAGGUGCCGAGCGUUAGGCGGAAUCACUGGGCUUAAAGCGUGUGUAGGCGGAUCGUUAAGUGCCUUGUGAAAUCCCACGGCUCAACCGUGGAACUGCUUGGCAUACUGGCGGUCUUGAGCAACCUAGGGGCGAGCGGAACAAAUGGUGGAGCGGUGAAAUGCGUAGAUAUCAUUUGGAACGCCAAUGGUGAAAACAGCUCGCUGGGGGUUUGCUGACGCUGAGACACGAAAGCCAGGGGAGCAAACGGG
rnacentral:rRNA from 1 species